AAUAAUAAAAUAAAAAUAAAACAAAUCCCAUUAAUAUUUGAACUGAUAUUUGAUACUAAUUAUUCCAGUCACAACACUCUUUGAGUUUUCUAUUCAAAAAUAACAGUUUUUUGGUAUCCGAAACCCAUACCAAGUUACUCUCUCUCCUCUUCGAUUUCACCGGCGAUUUCUCUACGGCAUCUCCGGGCGUAUGCAUGUGAAUCAAUCGGAUUGAUAUAUACAUAGAGUAAAAGAAUGGGGAACAAGAAGAGAAAUCUUGCGGUGCGUCCUAAACAAUGCCGGCGGCUUCACCGACGGCGGUGACUAAGCAGGUUGUCGACGAAGCAUAUAUUAUUAUAUAAUUAUAUAUUUGAUUAUUGGUAUUUAAUUUGUUCCUCUUUCAGAUGUUUUUAAUCUUUUAGGAAAAAAUUCGUUGCUUGCUGCUAAUAAAAGGGCGUAUACUUUAUAAAAAUUGGAACAAUAAAAGAAAUGUAGCAUAAGACCAGGAAAGGUUCCAUGGAUUAGUGUUGUGAUGUGUAUUUCAUAUCAUAUCCAUAAAAAACUAAUCAAAAGAAAGUCUCAUUCCAUACAAUUAGAAGUCAAACAAUCAAUUUUCCUUUUAGUUUCAAUAUUUUAUUGCUUCUUUAUGUGAAAAUUUUGUUGGUGAGAAAUUUCUUAGUUAAUAAUUGUGGUUGGCUCCUUAAUUGAGGCGUCUUUGUAAAGUUUAUAAUUAUUUAUCUUGUCUUCCCAUGAGGGUAUAGAAUAUAUUUUUGUUUCUGUUUAUUUCUUUCAAUACCAUCAUGAAGAAAUUACUUCAAGAAUUCUAAGAGCAUUUGAAGAUUGAAGAUAUUUUAACCUUAAUUUGGGUUUUGAAAAUUGUUUAGUUCUGACAAAUCAAAAGAAAUUACUUCCAAUGCAUUUUGACUCCUGAUCACGAUGAGGCAAAGGACAACAACAACCACAACUCAGGUGGUGGCUCAGACAGCUCCUCAUCUGUUGUUGUUUAAGUCGGCUCACCUAACAAACUUGAUAACAUGAUGACUACUGCUGAGUGUGUCAUCAUGAGCAACUACUUAGAUCUAAUUUUCCUCAUCAGCAAAUAUAUCAGCUGCAGAUUCUCGGCUCAUGGUUGCUGCUACAGCCAAUAAUAACUCAUUUACUUAGUCACCCAAGUCAAUGAAUUUUCUUCUCCAACAACAAAAUAAAACUCAAAGGUACAAUCUUAGAAAUUAAAGUUUUGAUUUUGAUUUUUGUUAAUGUCUUUAUGUCAGUACUUAAUUUUGUUUUGUGAUAUAAUUAUUAUAGGUCUGCAGUAACAUCUUGGAUUAUGGGUGUAGAUUUACACAAAUUUUGAAUGCAUUCUCAAUGAAUGGUGGUGUGAACCAGCAUCUAGACAAAUCUACUUGACUUUUCCAGCUGGUAGAAUUUGUAGAGAAUAGGAUGUUUCUAGGUAUUUUAGGUUUUUUCUUUGUUUAUUAACAAAAAAAAAAAAUGCUUUUCUAAACAGAAAAUUGUUCUUUUUCUAAUUAAGUUUUUGUUAUUUUUUCAGUAUGUAUAGUAAGUUUAAAAUGAUAGAAUACCAACCAAAUAGAAUGUUUGACUUUGUGACCUAACAUGAAUGGUUUUGAAUUGACUUAGUCAAAACACUAAUUUGAUUUUUGCUGUUAAGUUGGUAUUAGACAAGUAAAUUAAUGAAGUACGUACGUGCCUCGCACGUAACUUUAAUCUAGUAUAUAUAUAUAUAUAUUACUAGCAAAAUUACGUGCGAUGCACGUAUACUAAAUUUUAUGCUAGUUUUUUUCUAUGUUAUUUGAAAAUGAUACAAUUAAAAAUUCACUACAACAAAUAUAGUUAUUACCGGCGGGUUUAUUGCCGGCGGAACUCACCCGCCGGUAUUAAUAGGGGUAUUACCGGCGGAAAUAGCCAUCCGCCGGUAAUAACUAUAUAAUUAAUAUUAUAUUAAAUAAAUAAAAAAAAAUUAUUUUAAAUUUAUUAUUACCGGCGGGUUUGUAUUAAUACCGGCGGAAUCCCGCCUCGAAAAAAGUGGGCGGGAUUUUUGCCGCCCAAUUUUUUGAAAUUAGUUUUACCGGCGGAUUAAUACCGGCGGGACCCGCCGGUAUUAAUCUGGGAUUCUGACCGUUUUUAUUAAUACCGGCGGAACCCAAUUAAUACCGGCGGGUCCCGCCGGUAUUAAAAAUCUAUAUAAACCCCUCCCCAUUUCAGAAUACCAUUUUUUCCAUUUUCACUCCCCCCCACCUUCUCCAUUCCACCUCCCCUCUCCGUUUUCAAACACAAUCCGCCCCGUUCUCCGGCAUCAUUUCCCCGACACCGCCAGUGCGCCGCCCGUCUACCACCGCCAGUGCAUCGGUAAUGAUUUCGUUUUUCUUUUUUCUCUGUUUUACAUAUAUUAUUUUUUUUCUUAAUAUCUAAUUUUUUUCUCCAUCUUUAAAGUUUGGGAUAAAUAAUCUGUGGGGAAGAAAUUUCUGAGUAAAACGCCGGGAUCGGUUGGUGUACUAAAUAUUUGGAGAUGACAAUCGACAAGUCUUGGACCACAGCAACAACCUGUGUAUGGUCAAAUGGGAGGAUCUCCACAACAGCCUAUGUAUGGAGCCUUUUUCAGUGCUCAGAGUCCGCAACAACAGCAACAACCAAUUUUGGUUCGCCCCCACCCUCGACAAUAUGUGGAGAUCUUGCCUACGCCGCAGACUGGACAACCUUAUUACCCUGCCCCGCCGGCUCAAUCCCGUGAGAAUAUUGAUGGUUCAAGACUUAGCUCAAAUGCAGACGAAUUUUUAGAAUUUACUGAUUUGAACAAUGAUAGUUAAGUUUUUUUUAAUUAUGUGUUAUGUUUUAAAGUUUAUUUAAAGACAAUUUCCUAAUUUUAUUUAAGAUAAUAUAAUUUUUAUUGUAAUGGACAAAUUAAUUUUAAUACUUAAUUUCUUAAUUAAUGUUUAAUGUUUAAUUUCUUAAUUUUGAUAUUUUAUUUCUAAUUAAUAUAUUUAUUUAUAAAAUAAUUAUUAUAAUUAAUUUAAUUAUAUUAAAUAAUCAGAAUAUUAUUUUUUUUAAUAUUUAAAAUUAUUAUUACCGGCGGAUGGGUCCGCCGGUAUUUAUCAUUAUAAUAUAUUUUUUUAAAUAUUUAAAAAUAUUAAUACCGGCGGACCCCACCGCUAUUAAUCCGCCGGUAUUAAUAUUAUU